rnacentral:rRNA from 1 species
GACGAACGCUGGCGGCGGGCUUAACACAUGCAAGUCGAACGGAAAGGCCCUGCUUUUUGGGGGUGCUCGAGUGGCGAACGGGUGAGUAACACGUGAGUAACCUGCCCUUGACUUUGGGAUAACUUCAGGAAACUGGGGCUAAUACCGGAUAGGAGCUCCUGCUGCAUGGUGGGGGUGGGAAAGUUUCGGCGGGUGGGGAGGGACGCGCGGCUGAUCAGCUUGUUGGUGGGGGAGUGGCUUACCAAGGGUUUGACGGGUAGCCGGCCUGGGAGGGGGAACGGGCACAUGGGGACUGAGAUACGGACCAGACUCCUACGGGAGGCAGCAGUGGGGAAUAUUGCACAAUGGGCGGAAGCCUGAGGCAGCAACGCCGCGUGCGGGAUGACGGCCUUCGGGUUGUAAACCGCUUUCGCCUGUGACGAAGCGUGAGUGACGGUAAUGGGUAAAGAAGCACCGGCUAACUACGUG